GAGACACAUCCUCUAGAAUGAAGAUAGCAAUUUCGGUGCCUUAAAUUGUUGCUCACACCAGUUAGAAAGCUUUCACACCAGUCACGAGUUGCUCUGAUGCCGUCGUGUGCUGUAACUCUUUGGAGAUCAAGCCAUCGUUAAUUUGUGUUCAUUCUUCAUUCAGAUCCACCACUUAGAAUUCAAGUUUUAGAAGAGUAUGAGCAACGUCAUCCCUCGGUUGCUCCAGUAACAACUCACGUGCUAGUGUGUGGGUUUUGAAUAAAUCACAGUUGCAUCGAUUCUUCUCACUCAAUCUUGCCAUCAAUAGUUGGAUUUUGGAGUUUCGGAUUGGGAGUCUUUGGAGAUUUUGGCUAUUGUCCAGCCUUUGGGAAGCUUGGAAUUGGGCGUUUUCACAUAACUUAGGUGAAAAGUAGGAGGUUGCAAAGAAUACGAUUUUGGAGUACCUAUUUUUUUGGAUAAUUCUGGACAGAUCCAAUGAGAAUCUCACUUUCAUUUCUUUAAGUAAGUUGUAGAGAGGUUCCAAAAUGAAGAAUUUGAUAUAAAGUAUUGAAAAAACUAUGUGUAAUUGAAGUUAGCCUAAUGAAUACAUUGCUUGUGUUAGCUCUAUUCAGAAUCACUUCGAUAGAUCACCUUCUCUUGUGGAUGUUAGGAGUUUACUUAUUACUUAAGAAACUAGAUUGAAA